GAUGAACGCUAGCGAUAGGCUUAACACAUGCAAGUCGAGGGGCAGCACAAGGUAGCUUGCUAUCUGGGUGGCGACCGGCGCACGGGUGCGUAACGCGUAUGCAACUUGCCCUAUACAGGAGGAUAACCCGUCGAAAGACGGACUAAUACUGCGUAUGCUCACAACUUGGCAUCAAGUGGUGAGGAAAGAAAUUCGGUAUAGGAUAGGCAUGCGUCCCAUUAGCUUGUUGGUGAGGUAACGGCUCACCAAGGCAACGAUGGGUAGGGGAACUGAGAGGUUUAUCCCCCACACUGGUACUGAGACCCGGACCAGACUCCUACGGGAGGCAGCAGUGAGGAAUAUUGGUCAAUGGGCGCGAGCCUGAACCAGCCAAGUCGCGUGAAGGAUGACUGUCUUAUGGAUUGUAAACUUCUUUUAUACGGGAAUAACAAGAGUCACGUGUGACUCCCUGCAUGUACCGUAUGAAUAAGCAUCGGCUAACUCCGUG
rnacentral:rRNA from 1 species